rnacentral:lncRNA from 1 species
GGAACCCUGACGAAAAGCCUCUAGUAUUACCAGCGGCACAGACUGUUUCCCAAUCUGAGAUUGUUGAAAGAACUAAUACGAAACCAUUAAAGGAAGAAUCAGCGCCUCCUGCUCAGAAAGUACAGAAAGAGAAGAACAACAAGCAGCCAAAAGAAGCAAGUAGCAAAGUUACAGAAAGUACCACGAAAAAGUACAUCUUUGAUAUCGAAGAGGAAAUCCAUGGUUUAGAAAAGCAACCCAAGGAUAUGACUUCCAAGAAGGAAGUUGAUGAAGCGAAAUUGAGGGAGAUGAAGAGAGAGGAAGAAAUAGCAAAAAAUAAGAAGGCAAUGGAGAGGAAGAAGAAGUUGGCCGAGAAAGCAGCUGCCAAAGCAGCAAUAAAAGCUCAAAAAGAAGCUGAAAGGAAGCUCAAGGAAAUUAUCCUUAUCAUUCUAUCAUUUCUCUCUUGUUUUAUGUUGUAGGAAUUUACAUUAGCUAUGAACUUAUAUAGAAUCUUUACUCCUUUCAGGAACGUGAGAAGAAGGCGAAGAAGAAAACUGGAGCAUCUGUUCCUGCUGAAGAAUCUACUGAGGAACCAACUGAAGCAGCUGCGGAAGUUGCUGAGGAAGAGAAGGCGGAGGAAAAGGUUGAAACAUCGGUUGCACCUAAGGUUAAGGCACCGAAAGAGAAUACUAUCAGGAGCCGAUCAAAGCGUGCAAAAGGCAUGGAUAUUCCUAAAACUAUACUGAAGCGGAAAAAGGCGAUGAACUAUUGGCUAUGGGCUGCUCCUGCUGCUCUUGUAGUUCCACUACUACUAGUAGCAUACAAGUAUAUUCUCUAGAUUAUUAUGAAAGUCAAAAGUAGAGGGGGAGUAAAAGAGGUGGAAAACCUGGUAUUGCUUACAAUUUUGUAUUGGCAAGUUCUGUUUUUGUAAUCUUUAAGUCAUGCCU